rnacentral:rRNA from 1 species
GCGAGUAGAGUGGCGGACGGGUGAGUAACGCGUGGGAAUCUGCCUAGUAGUGGGGGAUAACAAUCGGAAACGGUUGCUAAUACCGCAUACGCCUUACGGGGGAAAGGCUUCGGCCGCUAUUAGAUGAGCCCGCGUAAGAUUAGCUUGUUGGUGGGGUAAUGGCCUACCAAGGCAACGACGGGUAGCUGGUCUGAGAGGAUGAUCAGCCACACUGGGACUGAGACACGGCCCAGACUCC